GCCGGGCGAGAUGGCGGGCGCCUGUAAUCCCAGCUACUUGGGAGGCUGAGGCAGGAGAAUGGCGUAAACCCAGGAGGCGGAGCUUGCAGUGAGCUGAGAUCCGGCCACUGUACUCCAGCNUUUUUUUUUUUUUUUGAGACGGAGUCUCGCUCUGUCGCCCAGGCUGGAGUACAGUGGCCGGAUCUCAGCUCACUGCAAGCUCCGCCUCCUGGGUUUACGCCAUUCUCCUGCCUCAG
rnacentral:SRP_RNA from 1 species